rnacentral:rRNA from 1 species
GCACGGGUACUUGUACCUGGUGGCGAGCGGCGGACGGGUGAGUAAUGCCUAGGAAUCUGCCUGGUAGUGGGGGAUAACGCUCGGAAACGGACGCUAAUACCGCAUACGUCCUACGGGAGAAAGCAGGGGACCUUCGGGCCUUGCGCUAUCAGAUGAGCCUAGGUCGGAUUAGCUAGUUGGUGAGGUAAUGGCUCACCAAGGCGACGAUCCGUAACUGGUCUGAGAGGAUGAUCAGUCACACUGGAACUGAGACACGGUCCAGACUCCUACGGGAGGCAGCAGUGGGGAAUAUUGGACAAUGGGCGAAAGCCUGAUCCAGCCAUGCCGCGUGUGUGAAGAAGGUCUUCGGAUUGUAAAGCACUUUAAGUUGGGAGGAAGGGCAGUUACCUAAUACGUAUCUGUUUUGACGUUACCGACAGAAUAAGCACCGGCUAACUCUGUGCCAGCAGCCGCGGUAAUACAGAGGGUGCAAGCGUUAAUCGGAAUUACUGGGCGUAAAGCGCGCGUAGGUGGUUUGUUAAGUUGCAUGUGAAAUCCCCGGGCUCAACCUGGGAACUGCAUUCCCACCUGACGAGCUAUAGUAUGGUAG